rnacentral:rRNA from 1 species
GAUGAACGCUGGCGGCGUGCCUAAUACAUGCAAGUCGAGCGAACGGACGAGUAGCUUGCUUUUCUGAUGUUAGCGGCUGACGUGUGAGUAACACGUGGAUAACCUACCUAUAAUACUUGGAUAACUUCGGGAAACCGGAGCUAAUACCGUAUAAUAUUUUGAACCGCAUGGUUCAAUAGUGAAAUACGGUCUUGCUGUCACUUAUAGAUGGAUCCGCGCUGCAUUAGCUAGUUGGUAAGGUAACGGCUUACCAAGGCAACGAUGCAUAGCCGACCUGAGAGGGUGAACGGCAAAACGGGAACGGAGAAAAGGUAAAGACAACUACGGGAGGAAGAAGUAGGGAAGAGGACGCAAUGGGCGAAAGCAUGACGGAGAAACGCGGAGUGAGUGAUGAAGGUAUUAGGAUCGUAAAAAUCUGUUAGUAGGGAAGAAAAAAUGUGGAAGAAACUGUGAACAUAUUGACGGUAACUAAUCAGAAAGCAACGGCUAACUACGUG